rnacentral:rRNA from 1 species
UCAGGACGAACGCUGGCGGCGUGCUUAACGCAUGCAAGUCGGACGGUCCGCAUAUUGAAAGCUUGCUGGAUAUGUGCGGAUAGNUGGCGGACGGGUGAGUAACGCGUGAAGGACCUGCCCUGGGGAGGGGGAUACCGUCUGGAAACGGACGUUAAUACCCCGUAAGCCGGGAGGUGAAAGGCUCAUAAAUGGGCUGCCCUGGGGGGGAUUCGCGUCCUAUCAGCUAGUUGGUGGGGUAACGGCUCACCAAGGCGAAAACGGGUAGCCGGUUCUGANAGGAUGGACGGCCNCACUGGAAACUGAGACACGGNUCCAGAACUCCUACGGGAAGGNCAGCAGUUGGGGGAAAUAUUGGGGNCAAAUGGGGGCNAAAAGCCCUUGAACCC